rnacentral:lncRNA from 1 species
GAGGCCCUUUAUGAACUUAAAUUUAUCGUUUUGGAGGUUAUGAAUCUACAAAUUUGUGGUCAUACUAGUUGUGAUAAUAGUGGGGGUUGUAGUGCAGGUCAUGAGGUAAUGUAAGCAGUUCCAUUGCACAUAGUCCCUAAUUUUUGAGGGCCUCAUGGAGUUGGUUUGUCAAAAUUAUAUUUUUCUGGAGGUGCGGGUUUGAGUCAGAUUGAUGCACAUUAUUUUUUUUAAUUAAUUUCUUUUUUCAAAAUAACAAAAAUCUCCAUAAAAUGACCUUAAGGAACAUGGAACUCAUUACCAAUUAAAUAACAUUAUAAAACAUAACACUAAACUAGGCGUACUUUUUUUUUUUUUUUUGGUGGUAUUGUUGUGCUCAUUAUAGUUGUAAACUUGUAACGACAACGAGAAACAUAAAACAUAAAUAAGGAAAGCACAACAACUAAAACAGGUAUAUACACCUCUAACCCUUUUUCGGUAUUGCUGGAGUUAUCUUUUACUCUACCCCGUGUACUCCUCUGUUCUAUACACCUCUAACCCUUUUUCAUCAAUCUAAGAUAUGCAAGACUUUCGCACACUCAAAACAAAACAAAAAAUUUCACAAACUCUUAUUUUCUAGUAAGUAGUAAUCAGCUUCAAUCUCUCUCUCUCUCUUUGACUCUCCUUUUCAACCACUUUACUUUUUUUUUCUUUCAAUUUUAGAGAUUUCAAUAUUGAAAUGUGAAAAACCCUAAUUCCAAAGUUUAUUAAGGCCAAAAUGA